rnacentral:rRNA from 1 species
AGUAACCUGCCUUGGAGUGGGGAAUAACACAUCAAAAGAUGUGCUAAUACCGCAUAAUGCAGUUGGGCCGCAUGGCUCUGACUGCCAAAGAUUUAUCGCUCUGAGAUGGACUCGCGUCUGAUUAGCUGGUUGGCGGGGUAACGGCCCACCAAGGCGACGAUCAGUAGCCGGACUGAGAGGUUGACCGGCCACAUUGGGACUGAGACACGGCCCAGACUCCUACGGGAGGCAGCAG